rnacentral:rRNA from 1 species
UCGCUAGUAAUCGCGGAUCAGAAUGCCGCGGUGAAUACGUUCCCGGGUCUUGUACACACCGCCCGUCGCACCAUGGGAGUCGGAAAUGCCCGAAGCCGGUGACUCAACCUGCAAAGGAGAGAGCCGUCGAAGGCAGGUCUGAUAACUGGGGUGAAGUCGUAACAAGGUACC